rnacentral:rRNA from 1 species
ACGAACGCUGGCGGCGUGCUUAACACAUGCAAGUCGAACGGAAAGGCCCUGCUUGCAGGGUACUCGAGUGGCGAACGGGUGAGUAACACGUGGGUGAUCUGCCCUGCACUUCGGGAUAAGCCUGGGAAACUGGGUCUAAUACCGGAUAGGAGCCAUUUUUAGUGUGAUGGUUGGAAAGUUUUUUCGGUGUAGGAUGAGCUCGCGGCCUAUCAGCUUGUUGGUGGGGUAAUGGCCUACCAAGGCGGCGACGGGUAGCCGGCCUGAGAGGGUGGACGGCCACAUUGGGACUGAGAUACGGCCCAGACUCCUACGGGAGGCAGCAGGGGGGAAUAUUGCACAAUGGGCGCAAGCCUGAUGCAGCGACGCCGCGUGGGGGAGGACGGCCUUCGGGUUGUAAACUCCUUUCGCUAGGGACGAAGCUUUUUGUGACGGUACCUAGAUAAGAAGCACCGGCUAACUACGUG